AGUGAACGCUGGCGGUAGGCCUAACACAUGCAAGUCGAACGGCAGCACAGUAAGAGCUUGCUCUUACGGGUGGCGAGUGGCGGACGGGUGAGGAAUACAUCGGAAUCUACUUUUUCGUGGGGGAUAACGUAGGGAAACUUACGCUAAUACCGCAUACGACCUACGGGUGAAAGCAGGGGAUCUUCGGACCUUGCGCGAUUGAAUGAGCCGAUGUCGGAUUAGCUAGUUGGCGGGGUAAAGGCCCACCAAGGCGACGAUCCGUAGCUGGUCUGAGAGGAUGAUCAGCCACACUGGAACUGAGACACGGUCCAGACUCCUACGGGAGGCAGCAGUGGGGAAUAUUUGGCAAUGGGCGGAAGCCUGAUCCAGCCAUACCGCGUGGGUGAAGAAGGCCUUCGGGUUGUAAAGCCCUUUUGUUGGGAAAGAAAAGCAGCAGGUUAAUACCCCGCUGUUCUGACGGUACCCAAAGAAUAAGCACCGGCUAACUUCGUG
rnacentral:rRNA from 1 species